UACGUAGGGUGCGAGCGUUGUCCGGAAUUAUUGGGCGUAAAGGGCUCGUAGGCGGUCUGUCGCGUCGGGAGUGAAAACUCAGGGCUUAACCCUGAGCCUGCUUCCGAUACGGGCAGACUAGAGGUAUGCAGGGGAGAACGGAAUUCCUGGUGUAGCGGUGGAAUGCGCAGAUAUCAGGAGGAACACCGGUGGCGAAGGCGGUUCUCUGGGCAGUAACUGACGCUGAGGAGCGAAAGCGUGGGGAGCGAACAGG
rnacentral:rRNA from 1 species